rnacentral:rRNA from 1 species
AACGUACGCUGGCGGCACGCCUAACACAUGCAAGUCGAACGCAGUAGCAAUACUGAGUGGCGAACGGGUGAGUAUAAUGUGGGAAUCUGCCUUUUGGUUUGGAAUAACACGGGGAAACUUGUGCUAAUACCGAAUAAGCCUUCACAGGGAAAGUUUUAACGCCGAAAGAUGAGCCCGCACUUGAUUAGCUAGUUGGUAAGGUAAAAGCUUACCAAGGCAAUGAUCAAUAGCUGUUCUUAGAGGAAGACCAGCCACAUUGGGACUGAGACACGGCCCAGACUCCUACGGGAGGCAGCAGUGGGGAAUCUUGCACAAUGGGGGAAACCCUGAUGCAGCGAUGCCGCGUGAGUGAAGAAGGCCUUUGGGUUGUAAAACUCUUUCGUCGGGGAAGAAAAUGACUGUACCCGAAUAAGAAGGUCCGGCUAACUUCGUGCCAGCAGCCGCGGUAAUACGAAGGGACCUAGCGUAGUUCGGAAUUACUGGGCUUAAAGAGCUCGUAGGUGGUUAAAAUAGUUGAUGGUGAAAUCCCAAGGCUUAACCUUGGAACUGCCAUCAAAACUUUUUAGCUAGAGUGUGAUAGAGGUAAGUGGAAUUUCUAGUGUAGAGGUGAAAUUCGUAGAUAUUAGAAAGAAUACCAAUUGCGAAGGCAGCUUUCUGGAUCAUUACUGACACUGAGGAACGAAAGCAUGGGUAGCGAAGAGGAUUAGAUACCCUCGUAGUCCAUGCCGUAAACGAUGUGUGUUAGACGUUGGAAAUUUAUUUUCAGUGUCGCAGGGAAACCGAUAAACACACCGCCUGGGGAGUACGACCGCAAGGUUAAAACUCAAAUGAAUUGACGGGGACCCGCACAAGUAGUGGAGCAUGUGGUUUAAUUCGAAGAUACGCGCAGAACCUUACCAACACUUGACAUGUUCGUCGCGACUCUAAGAGAUUAGAGUUUUCGGUUCGGCCGGACGAAACACAGGUGCUGCAUGGCUGUCGUCAGCUCGUGUCGUGAGAUGUUGGGUUAAGUCCCGCAACGAGCGCAACCCUCACUUUUAGUUGCCAUCAUUAAGUUGGGCACUCUGAAAGAACUGCCAGUGAUAAGCUGGAGGAAGGUGGGGAUGACGUCAAGUCCUCAUGGCCCUUACGUGUUGGGCUACACACGUGCUACAAUGGCAUCUACAACAGGAAGCAAAACGGCAACGUUAAGCAAAUCCCGAAAAGAUGCCUCAGUUCGGAUUGCACUCUGCAACUCGAGUGCAUGAGGCUGGAAUUACUAGUAAUCGUGGAUCAGCGUGCCACGGUGAAUGCGUUCCCGGGUCUUGUACACACCGCCCGUCACACCAUGGGAGUUGGUUCUACCUUAAGGCAAGGUUUUAAACCCUUGACCACGGUAUAGUCAGCGACUGGGGUGAAGUCGUAACAAGGUAGCCGUAGGGGAACCUGC